GGAGGAGUCAGGGGAGUAAAAAUGAGGCUGGCAUUCUGGACUUGCAUAGUCGAGAGAGCUACUGGUGUGAGGAAGCUGAUGGAAACCCAGCGCUGGCUUUCCAGAGGAAACACAGGGCACUCUAUCAGCAAUCCCCCUGGGCUGCACCCUCAUGGUGGAGAGGGAUUUACUCAAAUCGAAAUGAGGAUGCUAUGGACAAAAGAUGAAGGACUGUUUUAGGUAAGCAAAAAUAUCAGCUAAUCAUCCCCAUACAUUUUAUUGGAGAUAGUAGCAUA
rnacentral:lncRNA from 1 species